AGUGAACGCUGGCGGUAGGCCUAACACGUGCAAGUCGAACGGCAGCACAGUAAGAGCUUGCUCUUACGGGUGGCGAGUGGCGGACGGGUGAGGAAUACAUCGGAAUCUACUUUUUCGUGGGGGAUAACGUAGGGAAACUUACGCUAAUACCGCAUACGACCUACGGGUGAAAGCAGGGGAUCUUCGGACCUUGCGCGAUUGAAUGAGCCGAUGUCGGAUUAGCUAGUUGGCGGGGUAAAGGCCCACCAAGGCGACGAUCCGUAGCUGGUCUGAGAGGAUGAUCAGCCACACUGGAACUGAGACACGGUCCAGACUCCUACGGGAGGCAGCAGUGGGGAAUAUUGGACAAUGGGCGCAAGCCUUAUCCAGCCAUACCGCGUGGGUGAAGAAGGCCUUCGGGUUGUAAAGCCCUUUUGUUGGGAAAGAAAAGCAGCAGGUUAAUACCCCGCUGUUCUGACGGUACCCAAAGAAUAAGCACCGGCUAACUUCGUG
rnacentral:rRNA from 1 species